rnacentral:rRNA from 1 species
UAGGAUGGUGGUAAUGGGAAGGGUGAGUAUAUAUGGAAGUGGAGUGGUGGGGGAUAAUGUAGUGAAAAUUAGUGUAAUAUUGGAUAGAUUAGCGAUGAAAGGGGGUGAUGAAGAGUGGGGAUUGGAGGGGAGAUAUAGAUUACGGUAGUUGGUGAGGUAAAAGGCUCACCAAGCCAACGAUCUGUAGCUGGUCUGAGAGUGACGACCAGCCACACUGGAACUGAGACACGGUCCAGACUCCUACGGGAGGCACGCAGUGGGGAAUUUUGGACAAUGGACGCAAGUCUGAUCCAGCCAUUCCGCGUGCAGGACGAAGGCCUUCGGGUUGUAAACUGCUUUUGUACAGAACGAAAAGGUUUCUAUUAAUACUAGGAGCUCAUGACGGAUACUGUAAGAAUAAGCACCGGCUAACUACGUGCCAGCAGCCGCGGUAAUACGUAGGGUGCAAGCGUUAAUCGGAAUUACUGGGCGUAAAGCGUGCGCAGGCGGUUAUGUAAGACAGAGGUGAAAUCCCCGGGCUCAACCUGGGAACUGCCUUUGUGACUGCAUAGCUGGAGUACGGCAGAGGGGGAUGGAAUUCCCGCGUUGUAGCCAGGUGAAACUGCCGUUAGGAUUCAUUGCGGGAAGUGAAACACCCGAUUGGCAGAAGGGCAAAUUCCCCCUUGGGGGGCCUGUACUGAACGCUCCAUUGCACAAAAAGCGUCGGGGAAGCACACACGCGGAUUUAGAUUACCCCUGGAGU